rnacentral:tRNA from 3 species
GGGCGGUUAGCUCAGUGGGAGAGCGCUUCCUUGACACGGAAGAGGUCAGAAGUUCAAUCCUUCUACCGCCCACCA